CGGCGAGCUGUUGCGGGUCCAGCAUCGGGUCGGCCAGCAACCGGUCGGCCAGCGGUUCCAGACCGGCCUCGCGGGC
rnacentral:tRNA from 1 species